ensembl:lncRNA
AUGGGAUGGCUGCAGGAAACAGUUCAGCUUUCUCGUGGACCGACACUGUUGGAUCAGUAAGAGCUGAGAUGAUGGGCAAGAAGAAACAGCUCAGCCGCAGAGCGUGCUGCUUCCUGGGCCCUCCUCCACCACCCUUGAUCCCACCACCGUACUUCGGGCACGGCUGGAGCACUAAGCUGCUUGCUCUGGAUAUGAAAGAGUUGUGUCUGGAGCUCCAGAUAAUGCAGGCUUCCUCUCUGCCCGAAUCGUAUUGCCCCACAGGGCCUCCUGGCCCCGAGGUGAGUGAUUAAACCACAUUGUUAUCUCACGUGCUUCAAGGUCCUUACAAAGCUGUGAAAUAUCUUCUGCAAAUGUUUUUUAUGG